rfam:Lasallia pustulata genome assembly, contig: scaffold1216_size59748
UCGCGUGAUGACUACACGACACGGAAAGGCAUUCCUCAAUCCGAACAAUCAAUGUCGAUUCUGUCUCUACAAAGUUUCAGCCUUGUCUGACA